UGGAUGGAGCGAUGCCAGGAUGUGACUGU
rnacentral:piRNA from 1 species